UGGGGAAUCUUCCGCAAUGGGCGAAAGCCUGACGGAGCGAUGCCGCGUGGGUGAAGAAGGGAUUCGUCCCGUAAAGCCCUGUUGCCCGCGACGAAGAGCGCAUCGAGGAAAGAGCGAUGCGAGUGACGGUAGCGAGCGAGGAAGCCACGGCUAACUACGUGCCAGCAGCCGCGGUAAUACGUAGGUGGCGAGCGUUGUCCGGAAUCAUUGGGCGUAAAGCGCAUGUAGGCGGCAUGUUAAGUCCGGAGUUAAAAUGCGGGGCUCAACCCCGUAGGGCUCCGGAUACUGGCAGGCUUGAGCGCGGGAGAGGAAAGGGGAAUUCCCAGUGUAGCGGUGAAAUGCGUAGAUAUUGGGAAGAACACCGGUGGCGAAGGCGCCUUUCUGGACCGAAGCUGACGCU
rnacentral:rRNA from 1 species